GCGAACGUAGUUCAGUUGGUUAGAACACUAGACUGUGAAUCUAGAUGUCGUGGGUUCGAGACCCAUCGUUCGCCCCA
rnacentral:tRNA from 1 species